rnacentral:rRNA from 1 species
UACGUAGGGUGCGAGCGUUGUCCGGAAUUAUUGGGCGUAAAGAGCUUGUAGGUGGUUUGUCGCGUCUGCUGUGAAAAUCCGAGGCUCAACCUCGGACUUGCAGUGGGUACGGGCAGACUAGAGUGUGGUAGGGGAGACUGGAAUUCCUGGUGUAGCGGUGGAAUGCGCAGAUAUCAGGAGGAACACCGGUGGUGUAAACGGCUCUCUGGACCGUAACUGACGCUGAGGCACGAAAGCGUGGGUAGCAAACAGG